ACUGUGAAGCAUCCUGUUAAGUCAGGCAACGAGCCGAGACCCAGCCCACAGUUGCCAGCGUACUCUCCGGAGUGACGGGUACACUGUGGGGACCGCCGCUGCUAAAGCGGAGGAAGGAAUGGGCAACGGUAGGUCAGUAUGCCCCGAAUAUCCCGGGCUACACGCGAGCUACAAUGGUUGGUACAAUGGGUAUCUACCCCGAAAGGGGACGGGAAUCUCCUAAAACCAAUCUUAGUUCGGAUUGAGGGCUGCAACUCGCCCUCAUGAAGCUGGAAUCCGUAGUAAUCGCGUUUCAACAGAACGCGGUGAAUACGUCCCUGCUCCUU
rnacentral:rRNA from 1 species